rnacentral:tRNA from 1 species
GGGCCUGUAGCUCAGUUGGGAGAGCGCCACAAUGGCAUUGUGGAGGUCAGGGGUUCGAGUCCCCUCAGGUCCA